rnacentral:tRNA from 1 species
GGAAGCUGCUGCCGCAGGGACGGCGACUUGUCUUGAAAACAAGAGUGCAGUUAACUGUACGGGUUCGAUUCCUCCAGCUUCCG